rnacentral:SRP_RNA from 10 species
CUGGAGGAAGAGUUACCUUUAAUUCACAUGUUUGUUUAUAGCCUUGCUAGUUAUUACAACUUUAAACAUAUAAAUUAAUAUCCACAAGCAUUCUGGGCAUGAGAGUUUGAUUACUUCUGGGAACACAUUUUAUUGUUCUUACAUGGGUAAGGAUCUGUGCUAGGGAGUGGUUCCUGACUACAGAAAGAGUAACCCGCUAAAUCUGCCUCCACAGAACCUAUAAUCUAGUAGAUGACCAAAAGAUGAUUUCAAACGUCAGUGCGUUGACAUGAAUGCUGGUCUUUGGGGAAGCUGCCUUUUCAUGUUUCCUAUUAAGUUUAUGCACAAUUUUAUAUCUUCCCUGAAAUGACAGUGUUAGGGGUAAGGGAAGGGAAAUGACAUUUACUAUGCAUUAUCCUCAAGGAUUUUGUUAGAUGGCUUAUGAAUUGUUUUUUUUUAAAUCUUUUCAAUUGUAGUUCUGCAGGGUACCUAUUAUUAUCUCCAUGCUCCUGACAAGAAUUGUUUAAGAUUACCUAGUUAAUAAAUUGUACCCCACCGGUUGGAAAACCCAGAAAUCUAAAUUAUUUCAAUGAAAGGUAUAUAAAGAUAUUUAGGGAGAGAGGAUGAGGCAUAUUAUGUUUAUUGGUUAGGAAGUAAUAUUUUCCAAAACAGUUUUUAAAAGAAGUAUAAAUCCUUUACAAGUUUUUACCUAAGAUUUGGGAAAGUAUCUACACUUCUCCCAGCAAAGAAUGUUCAUUUCCCAAAUACUUACAGUGUAGUACCUAUCACUCUACUAUGCACAUUGAACAUUGUGGAAAUUAACAUUAUUUCCAUUUAAAGUACAUAAGUUUAGUUAAAAUAAAUUUAAAAGCUAAUGUCUGUAAAUAGAGCCAUGGUUUAUUUUAAAAAGUGCUGGCUAUAUCAAAUACUGACUAUAAAAAUUGUUGUAGAGAUGCAUUAAGAAACUUAACUAUUGAAACAAAAUUAGAAAUAAUAUUAAGUCUAGCUUCAAGAGUCAACAAACUAAAUUUAGGAGAAGUAGUCAAGAGUUGUCCUUUAAUUGGAAAUUCAUUCAGGGAAAUUCAUUGCACUACACAGCUGUGGUCUCUUACAUCUGUAGCAGCAGCAGGAACUAAUACUGUUACCAUAGAGAGAAGCCUAAAUCUCUCUCACACCAGAAGUUAAAGGCUAGACACAUGAGUUAUCACUAACAAGCAAAAACAAAUGUGGAUGCAUUUAACUACACACACACAAAAACAAUCAGAAUGAGAAAAUAUGAAGAUCUGUUUUAAAAAUUAUUAAGAUGUUUUAUGUUUUAAUUUUUGUUCAAUUUAUGUAGACUAUAUAAUGUACAUUUUGUUCAUUUCAAAUAGGGUUCUGACUCCAUAUAAAAAUGAGUAGUGGGAAAGUAUUUUAUAUUCUCUUUAUUUUAGCUAACACUAAUGAGCAGUCAAGAUAACUGGAUUAUUAGGUCACAUAUAAAACAUAAAUUUACACUUUGAGACAGUCUAUCUUAAGAGAAUACGACACUGUAUAGAGCAUUAACAUUUAAAUUAAUCUAUAUAUAGAUGGGGCUUACAGCAAUAACUACUACAUCUGGCACAGGAUUUAUGCAACGUCAACUACCAAAUGCAAAGACUUGGUAUUGAAUUGAUGUAGGGAGGCAAAGGAGGUUUGGGAGAUCUGGAUAUAUUCUCUUCAAAAAAAAAAAGCUGGAAUCAAAUAAAAAUAACUAACAUCAAAGGGGAGUUCAGCAGAUGCAAUGGAAGAUGCCUAUAGUCCCAGGAGUUCUGGGCUGUAGAGCACUAUGCUGAUCAGAUGUCCACACUAAAUUCAGCAUUAACAUGGUGACCCUGUGGGGAGCUGGAGGACCACCAGGUUGCCGCAGGAGGCAUGAAGUGGUCCAGGUUGGAACUGGAGCAGAACAAAACUCUGAUACUGAUCAGUAGUGGGAUCAUGCUUGUGGGUAGCAACUGCACUCAAAUCCGCGAAGCACAGCAAGAUCUCAUUCCUUA